GAGAGCAUCUAGGCCCGCAGAGCCCGCGCUAAGUCUCCGCGGUGGCGCCCCCGGCUGAGCCACUAGUCGCCCCGGUCCUUAGCUACAGGGAGGAAGCAAUACGGCAGUCUUCCUUUAGAAAGAGAAAAGUUUGACAGUGAUUUGGUUUCAUGUGGGGAUCGGAUGUAAAGCCAGGCAUGGGGAUCCCGGCAGACUUUGCAGAGGGAAGUAGCUGCGGUCUUCCUGCUGUGUUCUUGUCCACACACCAACACCGGUCGUCAGCUUACACACACAAACCCUGGGCCAAGGGAGUUGCGGAUUUUCUGACUCCUCGUGCACUCAUCUGAAGGAGCUACUUUAGAAUCUCAAAGCUUGCUUUUGCCUGAACUGCUUUCCCAAACAUCCACAAGUCACGACCAGUUUUGCUUCCGAUUUAGCAGUUCUGGAAAAGAGUUAAGGGAGACAAAGGAAAACAAUCGGUUGAAAUAGAGAAGAAAGGGGAAGCUCCUUCCACCUAUACCAACCUGCCCUGGCACAUCAAGCUUCAACAGGACUAGGUGCAUUCCCCUCACACCGAGAUCAGUCAAAGCAGCACAGCUAAGGGAGAGGGAAUUCUUUAUUUCACUGAAGUUUCUUGGAUCUCUGAAAUUAUAGAGUUCCACAAGUAACUGAUUGCUUUUUCCUACUUUUUCUUGCUUCCAACAAUUAGAUGGAGAGUAAAUAAACCAUCACCUCGAGUAGAAUAAUAGCAUGCUUGGUAUAAGCCUAUGAAUAAUGCUUUUCUAAACAUAG